GGGGGUUUCGAAGGUUGUACCGCAUCAUCAACCCUGUGAACAUACCUAAACGUUGCCUCGGCGGGAACAGACGGCCCCGUAAACGGGCCGCCCCCGCCAGAGGACCCCCUAACUCUGUUUCUAUUAUGUUUUUUCUGAGUAAACAAGCAAAUAAAUCAAAACUUUCAACAACGGAUCUCUUGGCUCUGGCAUCGAUGAAGAACGCAGCGAAAUGCGAUAAGUAAUGUGAAUUGCAGAAUUCAGUGAAUCAUCGAAUCUUUGAACGCACAUUGCGCCCGCCAGUAUUCUGGCGGGCAUGCCUGUUCGAGCGUCAUUACAACCCUCAGGCCCCCGGGUCUGGCGUUGGGGAUCGGCGGAAGCCCCCUGUGGGCACAACGCCUCCCCCAAAUACAGUGGCGGUCCCGCCGCAGCUUCCAUUGCGUAGUAGCUAACACCUCGCAACUGGAGAGCGGCGCGGCCACGCCGUAAAACACCCAACUUCUGAAUGUUGACCUCGAAUCAGGUAGGAAUACCCGCUGAACUUAAGCAUAUCAUAGGCCGGAGGAA
rnacentral:misc_RNA from 1 species